UCUGAGCCGUCAUAGACAGACGCAUUUUGGGAAUUUUCUCUUUUUUUACUACACUAUCUGCAUUAAUUGUAUGUGCAACAUGCAAGAAAGAAAUUACAUUUUCUCGAACUGCUGCUCGUGGACUGGGAUUUAAAAUUGCAUUGAAAUGCAGCUGUGAAGAUAUUGGCUAUAUUUCAUCCUCUCCAUUCAUCAACAAAGCUUAUGAAAUAAACCCAAGAAUUGUAACGGCAAUGAGACUUCUAGCAGUCGGGAGGGAAGGUAUAAAUAUAUUCUGUAGUGUAAUGGAUAUUUGUCAAGGUUUAGCUAUCAACACGUAUUAUAGUUGCCUUGAGAAAGUUGUUGAUACCGUGGUAAAAUCUAGUUUUUGCCAAGGUUGUAAUUUAUGGAGAACAAAAAAAAAAUGACGAUAUCGAGUCUUAUGAAUCUUGGUAUGAAGAACACGAAGAUUUUUGCACAAUAAACCACAACGGAAGUGCCGGGAAAAUGGAGGUUGAUGCUGUAAUUGAAAUGUUCGAGAGAUCGGUAGAGAUACAUGGAGUGAAAUAUGUAAAAUACAUAGGUGACGGUGAUUCGAAAACAUUUAAACCUUUAAAAUUCUCGAUAUAAAUCCGUAUGCGGAUGACCCUGUAGUGGAAAAAAAGAGUGUGUAGGACAUGUGCAGAAACGUAUGGGCUCAAGAUUACGUAAACUCAAAAAAGAUACCAAAGGUCUGGGUGGCAGGGGUGAUGGCACAUUAACAGAUAAAAUUAUUAAUGAACUAUCUUUAUAUUAUGGUUUGGCUAUUUGUCGGCAUCCAGAUUCAGUUGAGGAUAUGCACAACGAAGUAUGGGCAACUUAUUAUCACAAAAGUUCAACCAAUGAAACUCCACAGCACAUGUACGGCCCAUCUGGUUCAUCAAGCUGGUAUAAAUGGCAAAAAGCAAAAGCUGACGGUACAUUGGAUGAUUUUGAUCAUGAAAAUCCCCCUCUGAAUGGAAAAGUGUUAAAAGCAAUCAAGCCAAUCUAUGAAAGUUUGUCAGAUGAAAAUCUGCUGCUACGUUGUUUGGGCUCAGAAACGCAAAAUAAUAAUGAAUCGCUAAAUUCAUUAAUUUGGACUUUUGCGCCGAAAUACAUUCAUUCAGGAACAAGAACAAUUGAAAUUGCAAAUUAUUUUGCAGUUUGCAUUUUCAAUGAAGGCUUCUUACCAAUUUUAAAAAUAAUGAGCAUCAUGGGAAUCACCAUUGGUCCAGAAGCCUAUGCAUUCGCUGACAAACGGGACAAGACACGAAUACGUCGCUCUGAAGGACAAGCUUCUGAAGCUUCUAAGGAAGCUUGAACAGCCCGUUUAGCCGAAAGAAAUGCUGAAAAUAACAUGUUUGAAGAAGAAGAAGGUCCCAUGUACGAAGCAGGAAUGGCCGAUUAACGAAAUAUCACCCAAAGUGUUGGAAUCGUGUCAGGAAGGGCGCACCCUUAUUUUCAACCCCCGCCACGCCACCACGCCGCAAUUAAUCAAAUUAUUACAAAUUUUUUAUUUUUUAUUUUUUUUUUUUGUAUUCUUAAAAUAUUAAUAAAUAUCUGCUAAAAAAUUGGAUAGUAAAAAUG